AGGUGCAAUCAUACCAGCAUUAAUGCACCAGAUACCAUAAGAACUCCACAUUUAAGCGUGCUUGGGAGAGAGUAUUACUAGGAUGGGUGACCUCCUGCGAAGUCCUCGUGUUGCACCUA
rnacentral:rRNA from 1 species